UGGGCCAUGUUGUCUUUGAUGACGAUGA
rnacentral:piRNA from 1 species